GACGAACUCUGGCGGCGUGCUUAACACAUGCAAGUCGAACGGUAAGGCUCCAGCUUGCUGGGGUACACGAGUGGCGAACGGGUGAGUAACACGUGGGUGACCUGCCCUGCACUUCGGGAUAAGCCUGGGAAACUGGGUCUAAUACCGGAUAGGACCGCACCGUGAGGGUGUGGUGGAAAGUUUUUUCGGUGUGGGAUGGGCCCGCGGCCUAUCAGCUUGUUGGUGGGGUAAUGGCCUACCAAGGCGGCGACGGGUAGCCGGCCUGAGAGGGUGGACGGCCACAUUGGGACUGAGACACGGCCCAGACUCCUACGGGAGGCAGCAGUGGGGAAUAUUGCACAAUGGGCGGAAGCCUGAUGCAGCGACGCCGCGUGGGGGAUGACGGCCUUCGGGUUGUAAACUCCUUUCACCAUCGACGAAGGGUUUCUGACGGUAGAUGGAGAAGAAGCACCGGCUAACUACGUGCCAGCAGCCGCGGUAAUACGUAGGGUGCGAGCGUUGUCCGGAAUUACUGGGCGUAAAGAGCUCGUAGGUGGUUUGUCGCGUCGUCUGUGAAAUUCCGGGGCUUAACUCCGGGCGUGCAGGCGAUACGGGCAUAACUUGAGUACUGUAGGGGAGACUGGAAUUCCUGGUGUAGCGGUGAAAUGCGCAGAUAUCAGGAGGAACACCGGUGGCGAAGGCGGGUCUCUGGGCAGUAACUGACGCUGAGGAGCGAAAGCAUGGGGAGCGAACAGGAUUAGAUACCCUGGUAGUCCAUGCCGUAAACGGUGGGCGCUAGGUGUGGGUUUCCUUCCACGGGAUCCGUGCCGUAGCUAACGCAUUAAGCGCCCCGCCUGGGGAGUACGGCCGCAAGGCUAAAACUCAAAGGAAUUGACGGGGGCCCGCACAAGCGGCGGAGCAUGUGGAUUAAUUCGAUGCAACGCGAAGAACCUUACCUGGGCUUGACAUAUACAGGAUCGCGCCAGAGAUGGUGUUUCCCUUGUGGCUUGUAUACAGGUGGUGCAUGGUUGUCGUCAGCUCGUGUCGUGAGAUGUUGGGUUAAGUCCCGCAACGAGCGCAACCCUUGUCUUAUGUUGCCAGCACGUUGUGGUGGGGACUCGUAAGAAACUGCCGGGGUUAACUCGGAGGAAGGUGGGGAUGACGUCAAAUCAUCAUGCCCCUUAUGUCCAGGGCUUCACACAUGCUACAAUGGUCGGUACAGUGGGUUGCCAGUCCGUGAGGGCGAGCUAAUCCCGCAAAGCCGGUCUCAGUUCGGAUCGGGGUCUGCAACUCGACCCCGUGAAGUCGGAGUCGCUAGUAAUCGCAGAUCAGCAACGCUGCGGUGAAUACGUUCCCGGGCCU
rnacentral:rRNA from 1 species